rnacentral:rRNA from 1 species
UACGUAGGGUCCGAGCGUUGUCCGGAAUUACUGGGCGUAAAGAGCUCGUAGGUGGUUUGUCGCGUUGUUCGUGAAAACUCACAGCUCAACUGUGGGCGUGCGGGCGAUACGGGCAGACCGGAGUACUGCAGGGGAGACUGGAAUUCCUGGUGUAGCGGUGGAAUGCGCAGAUAUCAGGAGGAACACCGGUGGCGAAGGCGGGUCUCUGGGCAGUAACUGACGCUGAGGAGCGAAAGCGUGGGGAGCGAACAGG